CAAUUUUUUCUUCUUUCUUUUUUCUCCCUCUCACGUGUGCUCUUAUCUUUCUUCCACUUUCUUUUCUGUUACUCCACCUCCGGUGCCCUCUCAUUCUUUCCUGUUUCUUCAUCCGAUCUUUCCUCUCGGUUUUCAUUGGUUUCUUUCUUAGCUUCGCUUCCCCCCGUUAGUUUAUAUCAAUGGCCUCAUCUUUUACUAUAUCAACCCUGCUCUUCUGGUAGCCGCACCGCCGCUCUCUUUUCUCUUCGUGUCCGCCGGCCAUAUUUUGGUGAGUAGAUGCCCUCCAUUAUUUCCUCAAUCUGGAAGGAGAAAUGAAGUUCUUUGGGCUACCUUUGAUGCACAAAUCAACUAAAAGAGUUCAGCAUCCCAAGCUUCGAGCCUGUGUUUUUCGAAGCAUAUGGAGUAUCGUCAAAUCUGGUCAUCUGCUUGGAAUGUCAUCAAAUUCGCUCGCGUUGCUCUCCAUUUCUUGCUUCACUAUUCCUCGCUUUUUUCGUUAGAUUGAGGAGAAGACGUCUUCACGGUCGACCAGCUUUGGGUGACUCCACAUCUACUCUAAGAGACGUUGGCUUCUAGAUUCUCUUGCUUUUUUGCGAUUGGUCACCAUGACGGAGCGGCAUCAUCUUUGGCAAUUAUCUCAUCACAGUUUUUUUAGAGUGACGAAUGGAAGCUGGAAUGAUGCAGGGUAUCACGCUCAAAAUGUUCAUUGGUACAUUUAGUGCAAGAAUGUGCAAUAACAGUUCUUUUACACCUGUCAAAGAGUGCACGAUUCACUAUCAAAGGAAUCUCUUGCUAUAAUUGUGGUGACGUCAUUGCUGGGAUAAUUUGGAACUCUGAGGAUUAGUGGAUCUGUGGAUUUACUGCUUUGAACAUGUCUUUACCUCCAGCUAUUGCUGAAAUUAAUGCUGUAAGGUUGGGGUGCCAAGUUUGCUACAACAAGGGUCUGCAUAAAUUUGGAGUUGCUAUACAAAAUGCCCUCUGUUGUAACCUCCUUGUCCAUGAAAAUUUGAUUGGUCACCCAUUUUGAGAUCAGUCAUGAUACCAAAUUGUUGCUGUCUAGGAUUGUUGGGAAUAUCUUCCUUCCUUUCGAUUGUGCAGAUGAUAGUUAGCAUUUGUGUAAUCUUGCUAGGCUAGGACUUAGUAUCAUAUAACUAAACUCCAUGAUUUCGGUUUGCCUUCAUUUAUUUAAGGAUGAAUGAAUCUUUUGUUUUUUUGGGCCAACAAGAUGAAUGAAGCACAAGUUGCCUUAUUUUAUUUCA